rnacentral:rRNA from 1 species
GAUGAACGCUGGCGGCGUGCCUAAUACAUGCAAGUCGAGCGAACAGACGAUGCUCUUGCUCCUCUCACGUUAGCGGCGCACGUGUGAGUCACACGUGUAUAACCUACCUAUCAUACUGGUAUCACUUCGGGACACCGGCUCUAAUCCCGUAUAAUCUCUUGCACCGCAUUGUUCAAUAGUGAAAUUCGGUUUUUCUGUCACUUCUCGCUGCUUCCCGGCCGCUUUGGAUAGUUGGUAAGGUAACGGCUUACCAAGGCAACGAUGCGUAGACGACCGACCAGGGUGAUAGGCGACACUGGAAGUGAGACACGGUCCAGAGGACUAAGGGAGGAAGCAGUAGGGAAUCUGACGCAAUGGGCGAAAGCAUGACGGAGCAACGCCGAGUGAGUGAUGAAGGUCUUCGGAGCGUAAAACUCUGUUAUUAGGGAAGAACAAAUGUGUAAGUAAAUAUGCAGGUAUUGACGGUAACGAAUAAGAAAGCCACGGCUAACUACGUG